GUGGUUCAGUGGUAGAAUUCUCACCUUCUAUGUGGGAGACCCAGGUUUGAUUCCUGGC
rnacentral:tRNA from 1 species